GGAGUGAAUGUUUUUCGAUCAAAGUUCGGAGUACUACGCUCGAGCAGCCUUUCGAAGUGUAGUCGAGAAGCUGAUGCAUAGAAGGACGUCGGUUGCCCCCUCGGAUCGUCAUAAGAGCCUUGUAGAUCUCAAGGUGAUCACUUAGGUCGGUAGAACCGUCAUAGGGAUCCACAUGCGGCAUCUUGAACCGAGUGGGAUCGGUUCAUCCAGGAUA
rnacentral:lncRNA from 1 species